rnacentral:rRNA from 1 species
GAUGAACGCUAGCGACAGGCUUAACACAUGCAAGUCGAGGGGCAGCGGGGAGCAGCAAUGCUCUGCCGGCGACCGGCGGACGGGUGAGUAACGCGUAUGCAACCAACCUACCAGCGGGGGAUAAUCCACCGAAAGGUGGUCUAAGACCGCAUAAGACAGGGGCACCGCAUGGUGCUAUUUGUUAAAGGGAACACUGGUAGACGGGCAUGCGUUCCAUUAGGCAGUUGGAGGGGUAACGGCCCACCAAACCGACGAUGGAUAGGGGUUCUGAGAGGAAGGUCCCCCCACAUUGGUACUGAGACACGGACCAAACUCCUACGGGAGGCAGCAGUGAGGAAUAUUGGUCAAUGGGCGGAAGCCUGAACCAGCCAAGUCGCGUGAAGGAAGAAGGAUCUAUGGUUUGUAAACUUCUUUUGAAGGGGGAUAAAGUGCGUCACGAGUGAUGCAUUGCAGGUACCCCUUGGAAUAAGCAUCGGCUAACUCCGUGCCAGCAGCCGCGGUAAG